rnacentral:rRNA from 1 species
GGGUUGUGAGGUUAAGCGACUAAGCGUACACGGUGGAUGCCCUGGCAGUCAGAGGCGAUGAAGGACGUGCUAAUCUGCGAUAAGCGUCGGUAAGGUGAUAUGAACCGUUAUAACCGGCGAUUUCCGAAUGGGGAAACCCAGUGUGUUUCGACACACUAUCAUUAACUGAAUCCAUAGGUUAAUGAGGCGAACCGGGGGAACUGAAACAUCUAAGUACCCCGAGGAAAAGAAAUCAACCGAGAUUCCCCCAGUAGCGGCGAGCGAACGGGGAGGAGCCCAGAGCCUGAAUCAGUGUGUGUGUUAGUGGAAGCGUCUGGAAAGGCGCGCGAUACAGGGUGACAGCCCCGUACACAAAAAUGCACAUACUGUGAGCUCGAUGAGUAGGGCGGGACACGUGGUAUCCUGUCUGAAUAUGGGGGGACCAUCCUCCAAGGCUAAAUACUCCUGACUGACCGAUAGUGAACCAGUACCGUGAGGGAAAGGCGAAAAGAACCCCGGCGAGGGGAGUGAAAAAGAACCUGAAACCGUGUACGUACAAGCAGUGGGAGCCUCUUUUAUGGGGUGACUGCGUACCUUUUGUAUAAUGGGUCAGCGACUUAUAUUCUGUAGCAAGGUUAACCGAAUAGGGGAGCCGAAGGGAAACCGAGUCUUAACUGGGCGUUAAGUUGCAGGGUAUAGACCCGAAACCCGGUGAUCUAGCCAUGGGCAGGUUGAAGGUUGGGUAACACUAACUGGAGGACCGAACCGACUAAUGUUGAAAAAUUAGCGGAUGACUUGUGGCUGGGGGUGAAAGGCCAAUCAAACCGGGAGAUAGCUGGUUCUCCCCGAAAGCUAUUUAGGUAGCGCCUCGUGAAUUCAUCUCCGGGGGUAGAGCACUGUUUCGGCAAGGGGGUCAUCCCGACUUACCAACCCGAUGCAAACUGCGAAUACCGGAGAAUGUUAUCACGGGAGACACACGGCGGGUGCUAACGUCCGUCGUGAAGAGGGAAACAACCCAGACCGCCAGCUAAGGUCCCAAAGUCAUGGUUAAGUGGGAAACGAUGUGGGAAGGCCCAGACAGCCAGGAUGUUGGCUUAGAAGCAGCCAUCAUUUAAAGAAAGCGUAAUAGCUCACUGGUCGAGUCGGCCUGCGCGGAAGAUGUAACGGGGCUAAACCAUGCACCGAAGCUGCGGCAGCGACGCUUAUGCGUUGUUGGGUAGGGGAGCGUUCUGUAAGCCUGUGAAGGUGUACUGUGAGGUAUGCUGGAGGUAUCAGAAGUGCGAAUGCUGACAUAAGUAACGAUAAAGCGGGUGAAAAGCCCGCUCGCCGGAAGACCAAGGGUUCCUGUCCAACGUUAAUCGGGGCAGGGUGAGUCGACCCCUAAGGCGAGGCCGAAAGGCGUAGUCGAUGGGAAACAGGUUAAUAUUCCUGUACUUGGUGUUACUGCGAAGGGGGGACGGAGAAGGCUAUGUUGGCCGGGCGACGGUUGUCCCGGUUUAAGCGUGUAGGCUGGUUUUCCAGGCAAAUCCGGAAAAUCAAGGCUGAGGCGUGAUGACGAGGCACUACGGUGCUGAAGC